AGAGUUUGAUCCUGGCUCAGAUUGAACGCUGGCGGCAUGCUUUACACAUGCAAGUCGAACGGCAGCACGGGAGCAAUCCUGGUGGCGAGUGGCGAACGGGUGAGUAAUAUAUCGGAACGUGCCUUAUAGUGGGGGAUAACGCAGCGAAAGUUGCGGUAAUACCGCAUACGCCCUGAGGGGGAAAGCGGGGGAUCGAAAGACCUCGCGCUACUAGAGCGGCCGAUAUCUGAUUAGCUAGUUGGUGAGGUAAAGGCUCACCAAGGCUUCGAUCAGUAGCUGGUCUGAGAGGACGAUCAGCCACACUGGGACUGAGACACGGCCCAGACUCCUACGGGAGGCAGCAGUGGGGAAUUUUGGACAAUGGGGGCAACCCUGAUCCAGCAAUGCCGCGUGAGUGAAGAAGGCCUUCGGGUUGUAAAGCUCUUUUGUCAGGGAAGAAACAGCAGCUCUAACACAGCUGUGAAUGACGGUACCUGAAGAAUAAGCACCGGCUAACUACGUGCCAGCAGCCGCGGUAAUACGUAGGGUGCAAGCGUUAAUCGGAAUUACUGGGCGUAAAGCGUGCGCAGGCGGUUAUACAAGACAGGCGUGAAAUCCCCGGGCUUAACCUGGGAAUUGCGUCUGUGACUGUAUGGCUAGAGUGUGUCAGAGGGGGGUAGAAUUCCACGUGUAGCAGUGAAAUGCGUAGAUAUGUGGAGGAAUACCAAUGGCGAAGGCAGUCCCCUGGGAUAACACUGACGCUCAUGCACGAAAGCGUGGGGAGCAAACAUGAUUAGAUACCCUGGUAGUCCACGCCCUAAACGAUGCUGACUAGCUGUUCGGGAUUUUAUCCUGAGUAA
rnacentral:rRNA from 1 species